rnacentral:rRNA from 1 species
UACGUAGGGGGCGAGCGUUGUCCGGAUUCAUUGGGCGUAAAGCGCGCGCAGGCGGCUCCGAGAGCCCGGCGUGAAAGCCCCCGGCUCAACCGGGGGAGGUCGUCGGGGACCUCGGGGCUGGAGGCCGGCAGGGGCGAGCGGAAUUCCCGGUGUAGUGGUGGAAUGCGUAGAGAUCGGGAGGAACACCAGUGGCGAAGGCGGCUCGCUGGGCCGGUCCUGACGCUCAGGCGCGAAAGCGUGGGGAGCGAUCCGG